CGCGUAGGUGGCCUUCUAAGUCGAACGUGAAAUCCCUGGGCUCAACCCAGGAACUGCGUCCGAUACUGGAAGGCUUGAAUCCGGGAGAGGGAUGCGGAAUUCCAGGUGUAGCGGUGAAAUGCGUAGAUAUCUGGAGGAACACCGGUGGCGAAGGCGGCAUCCUGGACCGGCAUUGACGCUGAGGCGCGAAAGCUAGGGGAGCAAACG
rnacentral:rRNA from 1 species